CAAAUUAUCACUUGUAAUUAACUCUUCUAAUAGGUUUUUUAGGUGUGAGAGAAAGCAAGAGAAAGAGAUAAGAUCAAAAAGGUAGUGGUGGGAAGAGACCAACUGUAACAAAUGUAUGCGACAACAACAGAAAAAAAGGCGCACUGGGUUGGCUGAGCUGACAGUGGGUUAGACGAGCUGAUGAUAGGAGAGAGUGAAAGACAGAGAGUGAAAGACAGAGAGUGAAAGACAGAGAGUGAACAGUGUGCACAGACAGAAAGGUGCAGCGGUGAAGGCACCCAGGUAUAUCUGCAAUAGUUCCUUGAAGUAAAUUAAAAGAGGGGAAGGAGGCAGACGUCUAUGGAAACCCAGAGUGGAUAAAAAGAACGGACUGUUUAAGUAGAGCUGUAUAUGGUAGCCAGGAGAGGCAGGCGAGCAACAGACACAGGUUUGGUAUGCCCUAAAUCAGAUGCCUCCAAAAUGGCGCAGGUCUGGUAUAGCUGACGACUGAGCUGGCCUGGGGAUUACAGUCAACUUGGCCUGAACUUGACCUCAGGUUUGAAACUAGUCUCAUUAAGAGCCUGGCAGAUUAUCAGUGACAUAGGGACCUGACCUUCAAUUCGGACUCUACACAUCGGCAGACAGUAUGGAGGUGUCUGUACAGAUGUAUGCUUUGCUGUUGAGUGGGGCAGUCCUCAUGACAGUCAUCCUGUUAACUGGCCUGUGUCUCAACUGCAGAAGACACAACAUGCCCAUUUCCAUUCACCAGCGUUACAGCGAGGAUUAUGCUCAACCCAACACGGGAUUUGUUUUGGAACGACCAGCGUACAACCUCUCUGCUGCCACAAGCUGGGGUGCGCCACCUUCCAGCCUCCUUCAGCCCAUUUCACCACAGAUAGUUCAGAGAUCUGUCACUCCACCUGAAAAUGGGAGCAAUGCUAGUUAUGAGAAUCCAGGAGAGGAGUUGGUGGAAGACGAGAUACCGGGAUCAGAAUACCUAGAUGUUUUACCUUCAGAGCUUCCUGGGACUGGGUCUCUGCGUCGUUCCAACAUGAGUCUUAUGUCCAAAAGUUCGCAAAGCACAGAGCCACCUUAUGUCAACGUGGAAGCAGAGACAGACGUGGACAAUGAAAACAGUGAUGCAGAGAACUAUGUCAAUUUGGAAACUAUGGAGAACUGUGAUAAUAGUGACAGCGAUGAUAGUGAUGAAAACUAUGUCAAUACUAAAGGUAUGGCCCACAUUGGCACAUUAAACAGAAUGUAA
rnacentral:lncRNA from 1 species